rnacentral:piRNA from 1 species
UGCCUGAAGCCAUGGUGCUUGCGUAUC